CAGCAUAUAUGAUGAGUUUGUUAUCCCUGUCUGAAUAUAAAUUUGUUGAAAUCAAUGGUAUCUGACCUGCUG